rnacentral:rRNA from 1 species
GUGCCAGCAGCCGCGGUAAUACGGAGGGUGCAAGCGUUAUCCGGAUUCAUUGGGUUUAAAGGGUGCGUAGGCGGUUUUUUAAGUCAGUGGUGAAACUAGCAGGCUUAACCUGUUACCUGCCAUUGAUACUGAUAGACUUGAAUAUUAUCGACGCGGGAGGAAUGCGACAAGUAGCGGUGAAAUGCUUAGAUAUGUCGCAGAACACCGAUAGCGAAGGCAUCUCGCGAGGUAAUUAUUGACGCUGAGGCACGAAAGCGUGGGGAUCAAACAGGAUUAGAUACCCUGGUAGUCCACGCCGUAAACGAUGAUAACUGGGUUUUUAUGGUAUUCUGUAAGAGCCUGAGCGAAAGCAUUAAGUUAUCCACCUGGGGAGUACGUUCGCAAGUAUGAAACUCAAAGAAAUUGACGGG